rnacentral:rRNA from 1 species
UACGUAGGGGGCAAGCGUUGUCCGGAAUCAUUGGGCGUAAAGCGCGUGUAGGCGGUUCAGUAAGUCUGCUGUGAAAGUCCAGGGCUCAACCCUGGGAUGCCGGUGGAUACUGCUGGACUAGAGUGCGGAAGAGGCGAGUGGAAUUCCCGGUGUAGCGGUGAAAUGCGCAGAUAUCGGGAGGAACACCAAUUGCGAAGGCAGCUCGCUGGGACGUUACUGACGCUGAGGAGCGAAAGCGUGGGGAGUGAACAGG